GAGGAGACGCUCACGUCUACAUAAAGAGCAGUAGGCGGCGCGUCAGCGAAAGGCUGUCCAGUUUUAAUGAACAGUGACCACGGGCUCUGUCUUUACCGUGGAAAUAACAGUUUAAUAGUACAGUAACGUAUUCUGUUGGGUGGGGCAGUUCAGUGCGGAAAUGUCCAAGUUAUUCCGGGCUGUAAUCAUGGGUCCACCAGGCUCAGGGAAGGGGACCAUAUCCGAGAGGAUCGCGCACAGUUUCGGCCUUAAACAUUUGUCUAGUGGAGACUUUGUACGAGAAAACAUCGCAGCGAAAACUGAGGCUGGUAUUCUAGCUAAGACGUAUAUAAAAAAAGGAUUGCUUGUGCCAGACCAUGUCAUGACGCGUCUUCUGCUGCCUAGAUUGGAGGAGAUGACCAAAUACAGCUGGUUGUUGGAUGGUAUGGUGGUAAAUCCCAUUUAGUAAUUGAUCCUUUUGCUAUAUAUUUUUUUUUGUGUUUAGGACUAAGGUAAAUCUCUUCAGGGGAAGCAAAACUUUCAUU